rnacentral:lncRNA from 1 species
AUGGAAAAAGCAAGAGAGUUCCAGAAAAACAUCUAUUUCUGUUUUAUUUACUAUGCCAAAGCCUUUAACUGUGUGGAUCACAAUAAACUGUGGAAAAUUCUGAAAGAGAUGGAAAUACCAGACCACCUCACCUGCCUCUUGAGAAAUCUGUAUGCAGGUCAGGAAGCAACCGUUAGAACUGAACAUGGAAUAACAGGCUGGUUCCAAAUAGGAAAAGGAGUACGUCAAGGCUGUGUAUUGUCACCCUGCUUAUUUAACUUAUAUGCAGAGUACAUCAUGAGAAACGCUGGACUGGAAGAAACACAAGCUGGAAUCAAGAUUUAUGGGAGAAAUAUCAAUAACCUCAGAUAUGCAGAUGACACCACCCUUAUGGCAGAAAGUGAAGAGGAACUAAAAAGCCUCUUGAUGAAAUUGAAAGAGGAGAGCGAAAAAGUUGGCUUAAAGCUCAACAUUCAGAAAACGAAGAUCAUGGCAUCUGGUCCCAUCACUCCAUGGGAAAUAGAUGGAGAAACAGUGGAAACAGUGUCAGACUUUAUUUUUGGGGGCUCCAAAAUCACUGCAGAUGGUGACUGCAGCCAUGAAAUUACAAGAUGCUUACUCCUUGGAAGAAAAGUUAUGACCAACCUGGACAGUAUAUUCAAAAUCAGAGACAUUACUUUGCCAACUAAGGUCUGUCUAGUCAAGGCUAUGGUUUUUCCAGUAGUCAUGUAUGGAUGUGAGAAUUGGACUGUGAAGAAGGCUGAGCACCAAAGAAUUGAUGCUUUUGAACUGUGGUGUUGGAGAAGACUCUUGAGAGGCCCUUGGACUGCAAGGAGAUCCAACCUGUCCAUUCUGAAGGAGAUCAGCCCUGGGAUUUCUUUGGAAGGAAUGAUGCUAAAGCUGAAACUCCAGUACUUUGGCCACCUCAUGCGAAGAGUCGACUCAUUGGAAAAGACUGAUGCUGGGAGGGAUUGGGGGCAGAAGGAGAAGGGGACGACUGAGGAUGAGAUGGCUGGAUGGCAUCAUUGA